UCUUCGGUCAUUUUGUGACCUCUUUAUUCUGCCUGCUCAGAACAUGUUUUUCAGAGCAUUUUCUGUUACCCAAUAAGUCUCAGCAAUGAAGUUCAAAGCCAAGCCUGAGGACAGUCCCUGCUGGGAAGGGCUGUUAGCAUUUUCUAGCUGUAUUAGUUUUUGUAUUGAUGAUGAGGGAGUUCCCAUGAAGUUCAAUCACUGGGCACUGUCCCCAGAGCUCAAGCCGCUCCUCUAGAGAGUGGCUCUAGAAAAACUGAAUGGAGAGAAACCAGGGUAGAUUCUGUCCUCGUGCCUGGGGGCAAAUCUUUCACUGGCAACAGGGGGAGUGCCUCCUUCACCCCCUGCCAGGCAUUCUUCUAGAACCUUCUUUGGCUUCAAGAGUUUUGCCCUGUUUCUGCUACAGCCCACAAAAGGCAUCUUCUAGGUCUUCAGAGAGAUGAUUUACAAGUCAGAGGGAGUCAAAGGGUGAAGUGGGCUUAGGAGGGUAAAAUCUUAACACCCUACAUGGGAAACUAAAAAUGUAGAAAGAGGACUUGGGGAAACCUGCUUCAGUUCCCAGGUAACUGGAUUCGGGUCCAUCAGAUACACAAGAAGGGCAGUGGAAGCCGGGGGCCAGCAAAGGCAGAAGCAGCCCCUCCCUCAGACGUGGACUCGGAUGCGCCCUCCCUCCUGCGGCCUGAGUUCACUCCUGCCAGGAUCCCCUGACAGUCCCGCCCGCCAGCUGUCUGCAGCUGUGUGCCUUCCAGCUCCUCACAGCUGGCUUUGCAAAGAGAAAACGGCCUGGAAGGCAGUUUACCUUAGGACAUGCCAUGUGUUAAAACAGGGUUCUAAAAGCAGCUAUUAAGCAGAGUGAAUUGCAGCGUUAAAUACAAAAGGUGCACUCAGCCCAAGGCCUUGGGGGCGUUUAGUAGGUCCUCACUCAGUGAGUGGCAGGUCUUCCCUUCAUUUCCUUGUCUCUUCUACCUUACAUUCAUGCUGAAAUGCAGAACAGUUGGAAAUACUGUAGAGCAUUUUCCCGGGGGGGGCUCCAGAGUCCCCUUCCUGGUGCUCACGGAUGCUCCUGUGGGGUGCACACACGUGGGGGCCUGAGUUUGGGAAGAAACCUCCCUGGGGCUGCAAGAAAGUUCUGUGCAUGCACACAGAAAGCACGACUCGGAUAGCCUCCUAAUAUCCAUCUGAUCUGGCCUACAUUCCAAGUUCAAGACCCUGUAGGAGAAGAAGGGGUUUUAAGGGUCUUUCCCCCCUGAAUCAGCCUGGGAGUUGAGUUUCAAGCUUUUACGAGGCAGAUCGGGUUGGGUUCAAUAACCCAAUUAGAAGUGAGUCCUGGUGCAAACAGCCGUCCCCGCUGUACCCUGUUUUCAUUUAAAUCAGAUGCUCUGCUUCCCGGACUGUUCUUAGUGACAUACAUUUCAACUCUUGACUCCGGGUUGCUUUGAGUAUGAAGCGCAGGCGGCCGGUGGAACCUCACUGCAUAAACAAGGGGGCUUGUUGUUGUUUAGAAUGUUUUAAACGCCAUAAACUCCCAACCUGCCUGCUUUUCAAGGUUAAGUUCAUGUCUCUGCCAGGCUGUUUGUUCAGAGCUCCAUAAUUCUAACAGACAGUGAGGGGGAGAUUUGGAAAUAUGCAUCUAUAUUAUAUUAUGUUAUACUCCUUUCCUCAUGUACUUAUUCCCCUGUGACCUCAAAGUGAUGGCUUGUUUGCCCCUUUUUUUUUAAUCUGUCCCUUCCUUUCCUCCUUCCUUCCUUCCCUCUUUCUUCUCUACCCUUCUCCUCCUCCAGUCUUUAUUUCCGGAGCACCACCUUCUGUCUCAAGACACAGCCUCCCUUCCGCCAGGUUACAUAAACAUCGGGCAGCCUGCUCUCUGUCCCUUGGUGAAACACCUUCUUCCAAAUUGUGUUUUCCCUUAAGAUUUGACUCCUCAGAAGUAGCGGAGCUCAGGGGAGGCUGGCAGACCCAGGCAUGAGGGAAGAGAGACAAAAGAAUCUUGUUUGGCAAAGUCGCAGACACACCAACAGUAAAUCUCACCAAAGCCCUUUUCAAAUCUGGAAUGAUUUUCAUGCAGCUGACGAAGGUCGGGUUGUUGAGCUGUGCCUUCCGGCUUCCUGAUCCUCUCCCCCCUCGCCAGCCCCCACCUCUCCUCCUCACUGAGCGGAGAAACAGAGCGCACAGGCACUUAAAGGAGGAAAAUGGAGAAAGAAAGAAAGGAGUUGAAAACCCGAGGGAGAAGCAUACAACAUCUUGCAAUUUUGGAGUCAGGAAGCCCAGUGGACUUGCCCAAGCGCAGGCCUGGUGGGGAGCGGAGCAGCAGGGCACACUGAUGCGUGCGCCACUGUUGUUUGCACACACGGGCUGUGCCUCACUGAAGACAGCAGGUCAAUUACUCAAGAAGCCCGUUCGUGGAGUUCAGCUGCCAGGAGCUUGCUAUCUUUCAUCCUUUAUGCCUGCGAACAACCGUGAUUAUUGCAGACCUUUUCAAGAACUUUCUCUGCAUCAUGCAGCGUGCGGAGGGCUUCUUACACAGCAUCUUGUUUAAUCUCCAAAUGACCAUAUGACGUGGCUGCUCUGCUAGUUAAUUUCACAGCAGUGGAAGCUAAGGCCCACGUCGGUAUGUCACCCGCCCAAUGGCUCUGGUUGUUCACCUGUGUCUUCAAGCACCUUGUGGGAAGAACAUUCUCAUCCUUACCCUUCUGUCCACCACGUGGCAUAUAUUGUCAGCUCUGCACACAGUGGAUGCCAGAUUACUACCUGUGAAUAGCCACUUCCCAAGAGGAAAUUUUAAAAACAAAGACAAAGAGACAAUCAAAGCAUGUUGUAUGAUUCCUUCCAAAUCUACUGUCUUGAGGUCCCCUACAAACCACUCCCAGACUCGGACGGAGUGGUGGUGGUUCUGCAAGAAGCUAACAGUGACCGUGGCGGUGUCUCUCCCUUCAGAUCUCAGUGCCACAACUGGGGAUUCCAAACCCAUGGCUGUGAACUAUCCGUACAGACAUCCACCAUCCUCUGUCAGCUAAAGUGUCAUCUUUCUCCUGGCUCAUAUUAUAAACCUCUCAGCUCUAUGUGAGAAAGAAGUACUUGGCUGGGUGUAGCACGUCUGCAGGAGCCAUCAAGUGGAGCAGAUCCUGGGUGUUUAUGUUUUUCCAGGGCUCAGCAUGCCAAUUCCACAUCAGAUAGCUUCUUAGGUCUAAAAACCCAGAUGUCACUGGCAUUAAGUCCACGCAUGGUCAGGCCACUCGAGGUGGCUGUUCUCUUGCUCUCUAGACAUCCAUCCCCUGCUCCCCCAGCGCCUACUUCCCCUCUGCCCUACUCACAGGACCGACCCCCUACAUACUUGCCCCAGACGCCAGCUAGGGGUUGUUCUAUCCAAGGGGUGGUGAGGGGCGUGCCCCUGUGCUGGUUUCCCUGGUAACUGAUGAGCCAAGCCGAUGUCAAUUCCCCCUACAACUGGCAACCUCUUUCUACCCUCAAGAGCGAAGACUGCCUCCAUGUCCUACUCACUGUCCACCACACACAGUGGGGUGUCACUCCAGGACCAUGCCUCAGAUGUAUAAGAUCGCCCUGUCCAUUAAACCACUGCUUCUCUGUUGCUGACUCCAGGCUCUUCUGCCUUGAAGCUGGGGUGCAGACCAACAGUCUUAUCUGUAUCCUUGAAGUCUCUUUCCCUUGCCAUCCUCCACAUCAUUGGUUAGAACAAUAAUGACCAAGAAAACACAGGGUCAAGCCAGUCUUCAGUGCCCCAGAAUUAAGUGGAGCUCGUGCUAUUGUAGUCCCUCUGUCUUAUCAGUUCAUUGGAAAUUGUUAGUGUGUCCCUGAAUUAUGUCUCAGAUUUCCGUUGUUGGCUCCGUUUCCAGCUCAGGCUCAAAGGAAGUCCCAUGCCUAGUUCUCUAGACCAGCUGAAGAUACUUGCCGCAACCCACAGUGACUAAUUAAUUUGGUUUUACCCUGGAUGUAGAGUUUAUCACAAGCUGAAUAACUCCAGUUCCAUCUAUCGUCAGAGGGUACCCAUUGCCCAGGUUGGCUGCUGAGAACCAGAAAGGGCAGAGGAAAGAGGAAAGGCCUCCCCGGAACACUCAGUUACUCCAAGAAAGACUCUUCUAAGAAAGAGUCAAGGCCAGUCGUGCCCUUCACUGGAACAAGAGCCAGAGACACAAGAGGAAAGAAGAGACAAGGUGGUCCUGACACCCAGGAAGCUUCAAGACUCAGACGGCGGCAUGAGCAGAGGAAUAGGAUGCGCCACCACAAGAAGCAGAGGACACAAAGAAGACAUGACUUUAAUAAAUUGCAAAUUAUACACACUAGCUGUCUCCCCUCUGUCUACCCAGUGAUGACAUCAGACCAUGGGCUAAAGCGUGAAGCCAGAGGGGUAGAUGGGCCCAACAGCUGGUCUCACCGCCUUGGCGUGCCUCUUGGACUCUUCAGUUUGAACCCCCCUUGUUAGUUUGCAGCAGGGAAGAAAAUAAACAAAAAGGCAAGACGAUUAAUUCAGUGCUGUCCUCCAGAUUCUUCCAAUAAGGUCACAGUGUCGCAAUGCUUCAUCCUCUGACCUCACCUCUCCGGACUCCCAUCGUCACGUGGAGUCCUUUGUCAUCCUUCCUUUUUCAGCUGCUGUUUACUCUGGGCUUCUGUGCUUCAGAAAGCUGACACUUGGGAUGCAGAGUGACCUAGACCUCCCUGGCGGGCUGCUUCCCUUUCGGUCCCGGUUAGGUGGGUUGGGCCUGCCCCCAUCCCUGUUGCUGGCCCGCUGCCCUGCUCACCUGACCAGUGGCACAAUGGGAGACGCCGUAAGUAGGUCUCCAAGUGGAAUCACAAGGGAAAGAUGCGACGGUCUUGAAGAGAAGGCCACACAAGUAAGAAAAGAAAUGGAAGCAGGAACAAUGAUGCACCCUGACCAAACAUGCGAUCAAAGGAAAGGCUGAGCGAAGAGAAACUGGAGGGCUCCAAGACAGAGAUGUGGGGGAGUGUCCCUACUCCAAGACGCUGCUUGAAUUCACUUCCACUGAAACACCAAACAGAUCUUUUAAAAGCCCCAAGCUAGAGCAUGAGAACACUGGUUGGGAGCUCAGACUCUGCCUGCUUCUCAGCACUGCCUCUCACCAGCUCGGUGACCUCAGGGAAACCACUGAGUUACAGGUUCCUGUCUGUAAAGUGGGGACAGUCCUACCUACCUCCCAGGAAUGUUUCAAGGUUUAAAUGAGAUCACAGCCCGAGCACUUCUCUAGCACCUACUAUGUGCCAGACAUUGCUCAGGAACUUGCCCGAGGUCAUACAUCUAGGAAGCAGCCAAGUGGUGAUUUGACCCCAGGGAGGCUGGUGCCAGUCUGUGUCCUUAUCGACCGCACCUCUCACUAUAACGCUCAUAAAUCACUCAGCCAGGUGCCUGGAAUAUGACAACAGCAUCGUACAUGUCGGCUAUCAUUUAUCAUUAUUUGCCUUACGCCAGGCGUAAGAAAAACCUUCUUGUCAAUAGGGACUGGGGGACAAGAGAGGCUCCAGGUGCAACGCCCGGAGCGCUGAGUGCCAGCAAAGUCGUUCUGGGAGAAUUCGUGAAGAGAGGUUCAGCUGUUCCCUGGAGCUGUGUCUAGCUUCUCAAGUUUUCUUGGUUUAGCACCGUCCUCUCUUCUCUUUUCCAAGACUGACUCAGAGCUCCGGGUCUCAAUGGAGAACCAGAGAUGAUCCUCACCUUCUCAUUUUAUACACAAGUGCAUUGAGAUCCGAGUUAUAGCAUCUGAUCACAGAAGCUUUGUAAAUUAGCGACAAAGCUGAUCCUUGAACAAAAGUCUCCUGAUGCCCAGAUAAUGCCCUGCUUCUUAAACCUAGAGCCAAUGUGUACAUACGCCAGAUUUUUCUAGAUUUCAAAGUGUCUUGUCCAUUGUGUGCUUAAGUGCAGUCCUCUUCGCUAAAUAAGUGAUUGAAUUAUUGAUUAGGAAAAUAUGGUUACGACAAUGAUUCAUCACAUGGAAGACAGUUACAGAAUCUCUCUCUCCAUUUCCUUCUAAUGGCCCACAGGGGUGGGGAGGUGGAGCCUAAAUCAAAAGGUCCCUAAUUACCUACCACAAUCCCUUUGGUCUUCCAUGGUCCUGAGGUUUGAGGACCUGUUUGGCAGCGCUGAGACCCAAAAGCCCACAUUGAAUUAGGUCAUUCAAGUGCUCCAGGAGGGACAUGAAACAUUGAAAUUAAGGACCUCCUUCCACUCCUCCCAAAAGACCCUUCGCCUUUAAGGACUCCUUUUAAAAGCCAGCGAGUUUUCUCUGAUCCUCCCUAAUAAAGUGCCCCAGCCGCAGCGCUCCCCUUCCUUAUUUGAGAUCUGUGCAGUCUCAUUAAAUUUGAUGUGUCGCAGAGGGCUUGGCCACGUGAAAGGGAGGCUGUGGGAGCAGAACUGGAGGAUGCCAGCUUUCCUAAGGAAACGUAAUUCAUUACGGCUUUUCAAAAUGGACGCCCCUCUGGCUUCCUGCUCCAUUGAUUUCUCCCCCUUUGCAAGUUACAAGCAAAGGGCCAGCUCAGCCUGCAGAUUUAACCCUUAUUAACAGCCGUUUAAAUUAGAGAUGCGGUUUGAUGGAGAGACAGGAGCCUUCGCAGAUCCCCACUCAAAGGAAACCGAGAAGAGAUGAUUAAAGAUGAAAAAGGAUGCAGUCGGCUGGGGUGAGGCUGAAGAGGCGGCAUCUACCCCCGUCCGAGGAGGGGCUCGCACCGCUGUUAAGUAGUUUAUCCAAAUAAUGUGGGUCUACUUUUCCCUGAUUAAAUAUUCAUGACCUACUCCUUCCUCCCCCGCCCUUUGGAAAGAGUAAUGGAGGAAGGAAUAUUUGCUCUUCUAGGUGAAGUGAUGGACAGGAGGACCGAGGCAGACCGCCAGCAGGCUGGCUCCCGACCUUGACCGCUGCCUCCUCGGCAGGAGUGAUGUAGAGCACCUUGGGACGACCUGCUGGGCUGCAGGCUCCCCUGAGACCCUGGAGCGAAAACCUCAAUGCUUUGGUGCCCCUGCAUGGCAGAACCCGAAGGAGACCAACCUGCUCCAGGGUCCGAGCCUGCAGAACAGAGACCAGACCCAUCAGGCAACGGCAGCCUCCACCUCUGUCUGUGGGGACCAGUGCAUGCAGGGGCCCCACAAAUAGCCAGGGAGAAAAACUGCAAGAGCGGUGCUUGGAUAAAGGGAGGAGGCAGACGUCCAGGACGGGGCUGCUCCCCCCAGCCUUAGUUCCAGUUUUACGUGCAGCCUCGGAAUGCCUCAGACUCCUUACUAACCCUUCGUGGUCUCAGGGGUACCACUGGCAUUGUUCCUCCACAUUUCUCCCUUAGCAAAAGAACGUGGGGCAUCACACUGGGUAAGCAGACAAAGCCAGACUUCCCUGCGCAUUGGGAAAAUGAGCCACGAAAAAGACACCUCAGGGAAGGAUGUGGACAACGUGUCCCCUCAAACAGCAAAGCCCACUCUGUUCAGAUAAUGCUAACAACCGUCACCUUCCCUCUAAACAUAAAGACAAUAACCCUCAGGAUCAGGGUCCUAGCGUCUGGAAAAUGCAUGUGUGCCAGCACUGCUGUAAGAAUGAAAAAGCAGCGAGGUGGCUCUCUCACGCUCAUGCUCUACAAAUUUAUUUCCCUGACUUGCAGCAUCUAACUCAAGGAAUCUAAAGAGAAACAUUCUAUGAUGAAAAUAAAAACAAGAGAGGCUUAAGUAAACCUGGCGCUGACAGCUCUGGCAUUACAUAUUAAGUGAACGAGGACAUCAGCUCACUCGGUUCUUACUUUACUUCAUUUAGCCAAGGUGCAUAGAAGAUUUUUGCGCGAGGGGGGGGGUGAGUCUAAAUUUUAUCAGAGCAGCCCGGAGAGCAAAAACGUCAGUACACCCUAGUUUUCACUCCACAAAGAGUCAUUCUCUCCCCAACCCCAAGUCCCAAAAUAAAACAGGAAUAUAUAGAACGCAUGGCAAUGCCCCUCCACAUCUUCCUCCGCUGGCUUUGGUGACACUGACGCAAGUUUUUCUGGGAGACGCAAAGUCUACACAGACGUCGGUAUAAAUAGGGUUUUCUUCAAACUGUUUGGAAACAAAGUUUUAAAGUAUUCACAGUGUCAGAGAAAGUUAUGCCAGCUUGUUCUCUCAGAGAUAAAGGUUUCCCCCUUUUCUGGGUAACUGACUGACACCAUCAGGGGAGUGCGCCCAGAUGAGGCACUGGGAAAAUAAACUAUGCAUUCCCAGCGUAUGUCCAGUCCAGGGACAGAUGAAGGGAGGUACGUGCCGUGAGAGCUGCCAAGAACUUUCAGGUUCAGAACAAGUGUCCAAAGCAAGACGCAGACUUGGCAAAAGCCCUUUCCUCUUAAUUUCAAACACGCGCAUAUGUGCAGGGAAAUGUAAUCCCUGUUUUUUUCUGAGACGCUUUCCCUUUCUAGAACACCCAGGCCCUGCUGCGCAAGCACGCACCACAUGAAAAAGCAGCUCACGACGUGGAGGCAACUUUCCCGCCACACGAGAAGUUACUCCCACAGCGGGAAGGAGGCGUGUGCUGUAAGAGGUCUUUGGCUCAACUACACCCUGUGCUCCCACAGUGGACUAGUUCUCUGACCCCUGAAAAUGUACGGGAUGAUAAAUGUAAAUGGGGGGACUAGGGAAGGAAAGAAAAAAGCGAAGUGCUAUUACUGAGCAUUUAGUAUGUCCCAGAAAGUGCUUAAGAACUUAACAUACUGCCUCACGUUGUCUCAUUUAAUCUUUGCAACGACGCUCUGAGAUCAGUUAUCUCUUCUUUUUUCACUUAAAAAUGCAGACCCCAAGGACCAGAUGGGUUGGCUAAAUUCCAAGGCCCAAGGGGCUGAGCAAGGGCUGGGAUCACAACAUAUGACUAGUUGUGAAGCCGCUCUCUUUCCAUCCUACGACACUGCCUCCAGCGGCAAAGGUCUUUAGAGACCACAGAACCAAACUCUGCCGAGGUCACAAAGGCCUGGAAACCAGAAUCUUGAUUCUUAGCGCAGUCUCUUUGCAUAAUAGCAGGACAAGUGCUGUGUUCGCUUCAAAAUGCUUGUUUGCUCCAUUCUAAAAUGAGUCCAGGAGUCUCCUGCUACAACACUUAGCGCCAAGUGCAGUCAGACACAAGCCAUACUAUGCAACAGUGAUGACAGUGAUCAGUCAUAUGGGCCAAUUAUUUCAACAAAUAGUUACGUGUGCCCACUGUACUACAGAGAUCCUCGGGUAAAAAUACACACCCAUCCAGGCGUAGCCUCAGCCUGGCCUCCUAUCCCCAUUCCCAGUACCCUUUGCCUACUGUCCACCCAAUUACAUUGUUAUCAUCAGAAGCUAAGAAAACAUCGUCAAAGCAAAAGCAGACAUAGAUACUCACACAGCGGAGAGGCGGUUUGAAUUCCCACAAUGGAGGUAGAAGGCAUGGUCGGCAAACUCCUUCCCUGACCACUAACAGGCACCUGCAACCUUCCCCUGGCCUCAAACUCAGUCUAACUUCAGCUGAGCUCUCUCUGCUUCUAGUUGAAAGCACAGAGCCCGCCCACCUUGCUUUCUUCCCCUGCUUUCCGCUUCAGUCAGCCCCACCUGUAGCGAAAUCCAUUUUCCAUCCACCCGUCAUAGUCUACACCAUCUUCCCAACUAGCCUCUUCUUCGGUGUCGUAUGGAAUCCUGCUCUGAGUAACGAGCAAACGCCCGCGUAGCGGCAGAUCCUGACACCAGCCUGCUGUCCACCUCUGUCUCAGAUGGAAACGUGGCUUUCCCUUCACUGUAAGUGGCUCUCAGACCCCUUUCCCGUAGCUGUUUCUUCUUCCCCGACCCCAACUCAGAGGUCACAUUUGCUCUCAGCUUACCUUGCGGAGCACGGUCCUUCCGCCAUCACGCAAGAGUCCUUCUGCUUUGCAACUCUCGUCUCUCCCUCCUUGUUGUACCUUUCCGACCCUCUACGCCUGGAACACCCGAGGCGCCAUGAGCACGCUAGGCUUUUAUGGAUGACAGAUGACCUAAGCCUCGCGAGAUCUCCAGCUCCUCACAUCAGUGACUUUCACCUGCCUUCUGUUUCACCCAGCAAAACAGUGGCUCUCCAAGUAUGGUUCUUGGCUCACUCACAUCAGCAUCACCUGAAACUCGUUAGAGAUGCACCUCUCAGCCCCACCCUAGACCUGUGGAAUCAGACUCUUUAGGGGCGGGGCCAGCAAUCUGUGCCCUACCAAGCCCUCCAGGUGAUUCUGAUGCGCAGAAGUUUGAGAACCACUAGUGCAGAGGAUGCCCCCACCAUGGACCACGGCAUUAACUGGAGCUUUUCGACUCUUAAGAUCUGUGCUUCACCAACGUGUCAUCAUUUUUCCUAUUCUCUCAACUUUGUUAACCUAAUAUUUGCCACGGUCUAGAAGCCUCUUCUGGCCUCACCUUCACUCAGUCUGGACCCCAGUCAGCCAUUUCCAUGAUGCCUCUAAGACUUGCAUUUGCUACUUAACUGGUAGCCUCUAAAUUUGGACUUUUGGCACAAGCUAUAAAAUUGUGCUGAUUGAUUCCAAGCUAGCUAUCUUAUCUGGGCCACUGCUACUGGCUUAUAACCUCAGUAUUCAUUUCUUUAGGAUCUUUUCAUUUGCUCUUUAUGGUAUUUCCAACAGUUACCUGCUUUCAUCCAUACUGACAUUUCUACCUAAACUUCCACACUUUCAGCCAAUGGUCUUGACUCUCAGUUUACUAAGAAUAAAGUCACCCAGGCAAGUGCCCUCACUUUUCACCCACUGCUUUCCAAGUCAUCUCUAGAGCUGCUUCUCCUGAAGUAGAAGCAUUCUCCUCUCUUGGACUCUGAAUCUUCUCACCUAUGACUCUACCAGAACCUCGCUCCUCAGGAAGCCAGUGGAAUGCAGGGCCUCCAGAAGGGAUGUUCAAGACCACAACUUGCCAGAGGGUAGAGGAGGCUGUCAGUGAUGAAUAGUGUCACAUGCCAGAACCAGGUCCAGCAGAGUGAAACUGAGGGAAGGUUAUUUUCUUUGGACCUUUACUAGAUAACCGGUUCCAAGAUUGCUGUUUUAGUAGAAGGGUGAGGACGAAGACAGAUUGGAGGAGGGUAAGAGAAUAAAGCAAGGAUGUAAGGGGGUAUACAGCCCACUAUUAAGAGAAAUUCAGCCAUGUAGCAAAAGAUGAGAGUAGAAAUGUAGCUAAAGAGACUGAGGACUCAACAGACAGCCUUCUCUCCACCACUGCUGAGAUCUAGGUCUGUUCCAUGCAAGGGAAAGCGGUCAGCAGAGAAGAACAGAAUAAAGACACUGGGAGGUGGGAUAAUUAAAGGAAAAGGUCCUGCAAGGGACACAAAGACGUGGAAGAGAGAGCAAACCUGGAGAGGCUGUUCAUCCGGACUCUUGGCUGCAAGUGACAGUGUAUCUUCAUCAACCAACUCAGGCCAGACAAAAAUAUCCCGGCUCACAUGACCAGCAAGGGGAGGGAUGCCAUUAUACAUCUGCCCAAACCCGUAAAAUGUACACCACCAAGAGUGGACCCUAAUGGAAACUAUGGGCUUUGGGUGAUAACGAUGCGUCAGUGUAGGUUCAUCACUUGUAAUAAAUGCCCUGCUCCAGUGGGGGAGGCUGUGCCUGGGGGGGAGGGGCAGGAGGCAUAUGGAAUGUCUCUGUAAUCUCCCUGUCAAUUCUGCUGUGAUCUUAAAACUGCCCUGAAAAAUAAAUAAUUAUAUUUUAAUAAUUUAAAAAAGACUUUA